rnacentral:tRNA from 2 species
GGAGAGAUGGCCGAGCGGUUGAAGGCGACGGUCUCGAAAACCGUUGCGCCGGUUUCCGGCGCCGUGGGUUCGAAUCCCACUCUCUCCGCCA